GACGAACGCUGGCGGCGUGCUUAACACAUGCAAGUCGAACGAUGAAGCCGGAGCUUGCUCCGGUGGAUUAGUGGCGAACGGGUGAGUAACACGUGAGCAAUCUGCCCUUGACUCUGGGAUAACUGCGGGAAACUGUAGCUAAUACCGGAUACGACACCUUGGGGCAUCCCAGGGUGUGGAAAGAAUUUCGGUCAAGGAUGAGCUCGCGGCCUAUCAGCUAGUUGGUGAGGUAAUGGCUCACCAAGGCGACGACGGGUAGCCGGCCCGAGAGGGUGACCGGCCACACUGGAACUGAGACACGGUCCAGACUCCUACGGGAGGCAGCAGUGGGGAAUAUUGCACAAUGGGCGAAAGCCUGAUGCAGCAACGCCGCGUGAGGGAUGAAGGCCUUCGGGUUGUAAACCUCUUUUAGCAGGGAAGAAGCGAAAGUGACGGUACCUGCAGAAAAAGCACCGGCUAACUACGUGCCAGCCGCCGCCGUAAUAC
rnacentral:rRNA from 1 species